GACGAACGCUGGCGGCGUGCUUAACACAUGCAAGUCGAACGGAAAGGCCCUGCUUUUGUGGGGUGCUCGAGUGGCGAACGGGUGAGUAACACGUGAGUAACCUGCCCUUGACUUUGGGAUAACUUCAGGAAACUGGGGCUAAUACCGGAUAGGAGCUCCUGCUGCAUGGUGGGGGUUGGAAAGUUUCGGCGGUUGGGGAUGGACUCGCGGCUUAUCAGCUUGUUGGUGGGGUAGUGGCUUACCAAGGCUUUGACGGGUAGCCGGCCUGAGAGGGUGACCGGCGACAUUGGGACUGAGAUACAGCCCAGACUACUACGGGAGGCAGCAGUGGGGAAUAUUGCACAAUGGGCGGAAGCCUAAUGCAGCAACGCCGCGUGCGGGAUGACGGCCUUCGGGUUGGAAACCGCUUGCGCCUGUGACGAAGCGUGAGUGACGGUAAUGGGUAAAGAAGCACCGGCUAACUACGUG
rnacentral:rRNA from 1 species